ACUUUCUCCGUUACCAGCCCGGCCGCGGCCGCCAUGUUCUCGCCGCCGAAUCCGCGACGGCUCCAGGCCAGGAAUUUCACCCAGAGGAGUUGUUUCAGACUAAGAACAACUGUUGAAAAUAGAAUCAUGAUAAAAAAAUCAAGGAAGGCAGGAAAAGGCAGCACCUGUGGCAGGAGAAACGGAUGAGCUACUGUGCAUCCCAGUCCUCUGCGGCAGGGAGUCACAGAUAUCGAGUUUAUGAGAUAUCAAGAGAGUCCUGACACCAAAGGAAUUCAGUACAGUGAAGAAGACGCACAUGCAAAUAAAUAACGUGAAACAAAGCAAUGACUGCACAGUAGAGCAGUGUGUAAAAUGUUACACGAAUAGAAGAAGACUGGUGGACAAGAAGGGAAACCCACAGCUGAGACCUGCCAGGAUAAGCAGGCUUUUCCCAGGAGAAAAUGGGGAGGGGAGAGUGGAGAAUAAAGGCGUGGAUUGUUGAGGUGGGUGACUGUCAUUCCAGUCAGAAAGCACAGUAAGUGUAAAGGUGUUUCCAAAUAGUGUGGACUUUCCAUAGAAUCUCUGAAACUCAUAAAGUGCCUUUUGAAAUGUUAUCCAGUCACUGAUUUCACUGUAUUGUAGUUCUUUUUUUAAGUCAACAGUGACACUUUGUUGUUUCUUCUGCCCUUAACAUUGUUUUAAAACUCACUUUGAAAUUUAAAAACAAACCAAAAAGUGAGCCUCUAAUCACAUUUCCUAGAAAACAGAGAAGAAAAUAUUAUCUGAAAUGGCUCUUUCAUUGACUUAUCCAUGACUUGUAAUCCA